rnacentral:rRNA from 1 species
GAGGCGGCGCGCUGAUGCUGCAGUCGAACGCCCAAGUUAUCCGCAAGGAUGAUAAGGGAGUGGCGAACGGCUGAGUAACAUGUAAGUGACCUACCUCUAAGUGGGGAAUAACUUGCCGAAAGGCAGGCUAAUUCCGCAUGUGCUGAUGAGCAAUUAGUUUUUCAGUAAAGCUUUCGGGCGCUUGGAGAAGGGCUUGCGUCUGAUUAGCUAGUUGGUAGGGUAAUGGCCUACCAAGGCGAUGAUCAGUAGCUGGUCUGAGAGGACGACCAGCCAGACAGGGACUGAGACACGGCCCUGACUCCUACGGGAGGCAGCAGCAAGGAAUUUUGCGCAAUGGGCGAAAGCCUGACGCAGCGACGCCGCGUGGGGGAUGAAGGCCCUCGGGUUGUAAACCCCUUUUCCCGAAGAAGAAUUAUGACGGUACUCGGGGAAUAAGUCUUGGCUAACUACGUGCCAGCAGCCGCGGUAAUACGUAGGAGGCAAACGUUAUUCGGAUUUACUGGGCGUAAAGCGGGUGUAGACGGCUUCCUAAGUCGGAUGUGAAAUCUCCUGACUUAAUCAGGAGGAGAGAUUCGAUACUGGGAGGCUUGAGGACGGUAGAGGAAAGCGGAACUCCCGGUGUAGCGGUGAUAUGCGUAGAUAUCGGGAGGAACACCAGUGGCGAAGGCGGCUUUCUAGGCCGUUCCUGACGUUGAGGCCCAAAAGCGUGGGGAGCGAAACGGAUUAGAUACCCGUGUAGUCCACGCCCUAAACAUUGGACACUAUGUAUAGGGGGUAUCGACCCUCUCUGUGCCGAAGUUAACGCUUUAAGUGUCCCGCC